rnacentral:rRNA from 1 species
CAGCCGCCACGGUAAUACGGAGGAUCCAAGCGUUAUCCGGAUUUAUUGGGUUUAAAGGGUGCGUAGGCGGCUUUUUAAGUCAGGGGUGAAAGACGGUAGCUUAACUAUCGCAGUGCCCUUGAUACUGAAGAGCUUGAAUAUAGUUGAGGUAGGCGGAAUGUGACAAGUAGCGGUGAAAUGCAUAGAUAUGUCACAGAACACCAAUUGCGAAGGCAGCUUACUAAGCUAUGAUUGACGCUGAGGCACGAAAGCGUGGGGAUCAAACAGGAUUAGAUACCCGCGUAGUCCCUGUCUCUUAUAC